AGCGAACGCUGGCGGCGUGGUUAAGGCAUGCAAGUCGAGCGAUCCCGCAGCAAUGCGGGAUAGCGGCAAACGGGUGAGUAACGCGUAGGUAACCUACCCUGAAGUGUGGGACAACCCUGCGAAAGCGGGGCUAAUACCACAUGCGCUCGCAGACUGCAUGGUCUGCGAGGAAAGAUGGCCUCGACCGAAAGGUUGCUAUCACUUUAGGAGGGACCUGCGUCCCAUCAGCUAGUUGGUAGGGUAACGGCCUACCAAGGCAUAUGACGGGUAGCUAGCCUUAGAGGGCGGUUAGCCACACUGGGACUGAGACACUGCCCAGACUCCUACGGGAGGCUGCAGUCGAGAAUAUUUGGCAAUGGGCGAAAGCCUGACCAUGCGACGCCGCGUGCGGGAUGAAGGCCUUCGGGUCGUAACCGCUGUUACGAGGAACGAACGCUCCAUCUGCG
rnacentral:rRNA from 1 species